CGGUUGGUGGGGGGGGGGAGAAGCUUGCAACGGUCAUGUUUGAAUUUUGAGAGGGGAGGGCACCGGUCCCUGCUUCUCUCUCCGCCGCGGAACGAUGCCCUAAAGCUGAGGCGAAGGCGAACCAGUCAAAACUGAAAAGCCUGCCCAGCCACUCUGCUUGUAUGGCUGUCUUUUUCCAACCCAGUCGUCCAGAACACCUGGAGAGCACAUCAUCAGCCUCAACCAGCAUGGCUAAUGUUCAAGGAGGAUAGGAGUCAUAUUCCAGAAAAUGUAGAGAGCACUAAGUUGGGGAAGGCUGCAAUACAGAUUGUUUUACAAUGGUGCAGGAAGGAUACCUGAUCGUGUGGAAGAACCUGACAGUGUAAACCCACUUUUAGUUGGAUAGAAAAGGAUAACUGCACAUGUCAAGCACAGUUGCUAUGAACAGCCACACUGCCCCAACAUUUGAUUUGUGCACAGUGGUAGAACUUGCAGCAGUCUAAAACAGUAAACCUGAGUGAUUAAGAGGCUUUAACCAUUCCUUCUUCCAAAGUCCUAUCCAUAUCAGAGAUCAUAACUAUUUUAUCAAGCUUUAGCAUUUUUGUAAGAACGUUUGAGGAAGGGGCAUACAGUAGCUCAGUAGUAGAGCACAUCCUUUACAUGUGGCAGAUGGUCCUAGGUUCUUGAGGUAAACAUGUCCAGGGUGGAUAUACAAAGGCUCCCUGGAAAACUGCUGCCAGUGUAUACAACAGUGAGCAAAAGGAACCAGUGGCCUGACGGUGAUGGAAGGUGGUUUUCUAAGUUCUUAAGAAAUAAGUUGGGAGAGGAGUUGUGGUUGAUCUUUUUAGAUGUAUGUGGAAAAUGUUCAAUUUGUUUACUUUUUGAUGAGUUUUAUUUAUUGUUUAUGACUACUUUUGUUAUGUUUGUAAUUACAGACAUUUUUUCAUGUUGUAAGCUGCCUUGAGCAUGAUUUUAACUAUGGAAAGGUGACAUACAAAUAAAAUGAUAAAUAGAUGAAUGAGACCCAU